rnacentral:lncRNA from 1 species
AUGAAAAGUCUGGUAACUAUUGCCAUCAUCUCCCACAUAAAACGUUAUCUUCAAGAUCUGAUGUCCCUAAAUCACUUUUUACAAAUUUAGCGGCACCACCUUCUUCAUCAAGUUCGUCUCUCGACAAAAUUGUACGGUGUUGAAGUAAGAUUCGAGCAAUAGUUUGGUGGGGUUUGGGGUUAUUGAAGAUGAAGAAAUAUAUAGAGAAAGUAAAAAACCAUUUUUUGGAAAUCAAAAACCCAUUUUUUUCAUAGAGAAAGAACUCAGUUUUAAGAGAAGCAUUUCUUUGGCUUGGUGUAGUCUGGUACUGUGGUAGUUCUUUCUUACGGGAAGAUUUUUGUAUUGAUUAUUAGGAGUGGGGUUUAAUGAGUCAGGCAC